UUUUUUUUUUUUUUGUUACCUUGAGUUUGUGGCUCUUUAAGUUGAGAAGUGCACCUUCUGAGCUUUAAAUGGAACAUCUUUUCAGUGCAUCAUGGAUUAUAAGAUGCUCAGUGUUUCUUAAAGGCUUAAAUUUCUCAUUACUGCUAAGUUUGGGAAUGAGCAGCAGUUAAUCUAGGAACUUCUAAAUGAUGAAAUGCAGUUGUAACUCUGCUGAAGCAUUGAAGAGAACAGUUUUCUUGUAGAACCAUUGGCCAAUUAAAUAUGAUUAUUGUAUAAAUACAUAUAAAUAUAAUAAUUAAAAUUAACCAAUAAAAUAUGAAGUUCUGAAUAUUAAAGUAAGAAAUCUAGAAAUGGUUUUGCUGUCUUAGAAGGUGCUUGCUAAUGUGAAGUAGUGGUUCAAAAAAUUACAAUUAUAAGUCAAUGUGAUGUGUAAGAAUGAAUUGACCUUAGCUCCUGUUGUACAGCAGAGGUAUCUUAAUUCUGAACAUUGCUAGCUAACAAGGGCAUUUAAUCAAGAAAUAUAUAUAUAUAUAUAUAUAUAUAUAUAUUUUUGAGAAAAAUAAGGAUGUACUGCUUGCUGUUAGUAGCUAAUUAAACUUUAUAUUGCAGCAGAUGUUGUACAGCAUCAAACCCUUCCAGCCUUUAAACUGUUUGUUGUGUGCUGGUGGAUUGGUCUUUCACUGUGCAGGUGUUUCUUUACUGCGGAGUUUGCCUGUAAUGUGAACUGGCUGUGUUUGUCUUGCAUGGACAAAAUACCCAUUGCCUAUCUUGAUUUGGCUUUGUGAACUUUCUUUGUGUACAGCAAUAUAACCGGUCAUUUCAUGCUCUUUAGGGAGAGUUUUGCAAAUCCCAGUUUAAUAGUUCCUAGUUUACUCCAUCUGUUGAUACACUGCCAGUAUUCAACUCUGUGUAGUAAAUCUUUGUGAAGUUCUUCCUCAUAAUCCAUAUAGGCUGAAAUCUUAAACUGUAUUCUGUUCUGUAAAUCAUUUAUCUCUGUGCUUUUUAAAAAGUGGCCUACCUUUCCCCUUGAGGCCAUUGGUCUUGAAUGUAUUUAUUUUUCUGGCAGAGAGCCAUGAAUGAAUCAUAGCCCAGAGCAGCUUACAGUCUGAACUCCUCUCUAUUGUUAAUAUAAAAUACUUCAUGCGGUUGUUACAGUGUUAUGCUAUGUAAAACUUUUAAGAGAAGAGAGAUUGAUUUCAGACAUGCUAGUUGCUUUUGAAGUUUCCCAACAGUAUGUGGAAGUGAUUUCUUAUGGUCGUGCAGCUGUAAUUCACUAAAAUCACUAGUUGCAUGGGAAGUUAGUACAUGAGAAUGUUACUCUGUCACAGUGCAGUGUGUUUGUUCUUUUGUGAAAAUAGUCACACCAGCUUUUCAUUCCAUUUGUAACUUUCCUGUUUGUACCUCCCUGCUCUGUUUCCAUAUUGCUUUAUUUUUUUAAUUGUUCUUGAAUUAAUUCACAAGCCUUUUGUUCUGUUCUUCAGACACCCCUCGUUUCUGGCUUGGCCAUUCUGCUGUGGAUAUUGUUUCAUGCUCCAUCCUCUCUUUUUCUGGACAUGAUUUAUUUCUUGAUGUUUAAAAGGCGUCUUUGUGCUGAAGAGCCUGGGCCCAAUCAAAGUACCAAGGAUUUCCAUAGAUAAAAAUCUACAACAUGGCUGUUAACUGAUCCUGCCUGCUUUAGAGAAGAGGCUGUGUUUUAUUCCUGCAUGUUUUAACAGUUUAUUCAGGCUUUUUAAAUCAGAAAAGAAAUGAGUUCAGUUUUAGUACAUGAAGGUGAAGCUUCAGACUGUACAGUUACAUUGUUCAUGUAUAAACAGAUAUCUCAGUUACAUCUUUUAAGUCUAGCCUAAGAACUUGGUGUCACUUUUACCUUCACAAUCCCUUGCUCUGCCACAACCUUCCCAUCAGUGUUGGAUAGCUGUUUUGACAGUUGCUCAUAUUUUUCUGAGAAAAUGAAGGUCAUGCAGCUGCAACGAUGAAUAUUCUGGUAUGUCUGAAACUUCAUGCAAAUGGAAUGGCUAUCAUGAGGGUUCUUCCUGAUUUUAAAUUUGAAUAGAAUUUGGUUCUUAGCUGCUGCAACCAUAAGGGGUUGUUGUUAGAAGUCAAUAAAUUGUACAUAACGUUCUGGCUCCUGCUUCCUUCACCUGUCUUUUUUUUUUUUUUUUGUACCAUCAGGCCCUCUUUGAAAGUCUUGAGCCUCAUGUUUAAAGCACCUCCUCUAUUCCCCUGAACUAAGUAAACCAUUAAGUUAAAUGUGUCAUUUUAGCUUUAUUGAAUUAAUUUGUAUUACUUCUCUUACACUGAGCCUAUUUAGCUCUAUUGGUUUACUCGGUAAAUGUGGAAGGCUGUGUUCCCACAGAGUGGAUUUUUUUUUUUAAUCUCUGUCUCCUGCCAAAGUUUCUCCAAACCUCCUAUUUUAAAAUCAGUAGUGAAACAUGAGAAGGAGACAUUCAGUAUGUGGUGGUGUUUUUUUUUUCCUUCAUGUUGCCAUCCUCAAAUUAUCUUGCUCUUAGCAGUGAUGAAACGUCUGGCUCGGUCCCUGUAGAAGACAAGACUGAGAGCCAAGAAGUCAGUAGCUUUGAAUGCCUUGAGAGGGGUGCAGGAGAGGGGGGAGGAGCCGAUUUCAGAAUCCUCUCGAUGUCUCAUCUCUCCCAGUGUCUCAUCUCAUGACCCUGUUGGAGUGCACUGCGUUCUGAGGGGAGGCUUUUUAAAAUUGAGCUAUUUUCAUACUGAAGUCUCGUUGAUCUCGUUUCUUUAAUUGCCUUACAAGUCUGGCGUUGAGACAUACACAUCCUGGAUGAGGAGGUUCUGCAUGCUUAUGGCAAACUCUUACCCUCAUCCUUAGUUUAAUCAUUUAAAGAUGCAUCUCUGUUUCCUUUCUAGCUUUCUAGUAAUUUCGGUAGGAAUCUUUCCAAUAGCAGGUUACUUUUAUCUAGUAAUUUGCUGGUAGUGUCUUUGAUUUAGAAACGGUUCUGUUGACUAAAAACUUUUUCUUGCAGCUUUGAAAUAUAUGUAAAUUAUGUAGUUUACACUGAUUUAGUACAUAAGCUCAAAGCAAUUUUGCAUCUGAUCAUGAAAUGUAACCUGUUCAUUAUUUUAGUGAUCCCAGUUAAAAAUAAAAUUUGCUAAAAUUUGUUUUUUUAUCUGAGAAAAUUGUAAGAAGAACCUAACAGGAAGUGAAAUCUAUUAGAUGCAUGUGAUAACUGCACAAGUAGGGGAGAAAAAUCAGGGAAAAAUGUAUAACUUAUUCUGAAUAUGUAACUACAUCUGUGUAUCACUGAUUGUACUGAGUUUAUCACUCAGGGUUUUGCAGUGAACCAUUUGUGUCCAUUUUAUCAUUAUUAAUGAACUUGGACAAAACUUCUACAAAUUAAAACCAGUGGGUUAAUGCUGAAGAGUGCUUUUAAUCUGUCAAUCUGACACUCCUUUUUCUGCUUAGGUAUCUCAUCUUUUUUCAUCUUAUGGGAAUCACCAUAGGGUACAAUCUUCUUUCCUGGAACAAAGCAAGCAAAAGUACCUGUGGUUAAAUGUUCUGAAACAACAGUUAGUGGUGCUCAUGUUUCUGUUCAGCUCGGGAAGUAUUUUACUGUUUGCUUUAAGAUUGUGCUUCUGUUCUGACCCUGCUCCAACUGAAAUUACAGAGUCUCUUUUAAUCUUCCUUUGGAUGAUGGGGCAGACAAUAAUGAAGAGGGCAAGCUUUGUCUUGAAGCAGGUAAUAAAUAACCAACUCCAUCAA